CAGGAUGAGGGCGGCCAUUGCUGGGGCUCCGCUUCGGGGAGGAGGACGCUGAGGAGGCGCCGAGCCGCGCAGCGCUGCGGGGGAGGCGCCCGCGCCGACGCGGGGCCCAUGGCCAGGACCACCAGCCAGCUGUUCUACAGUCUGGGGACGACGGUUUAAAAAUUUAUGCCUUGUAUGCGAUGUGCAGUGGGUGAUGGAAGAACGUCUACAUGGCUUUAACAUUUGAUUUAAAAGGCAAAUAUUUUAAAUGAAGGAAAACCCAAGAAAUUUAAUUGAUCCCGUGUCUUCCAGGAUGCGGCUUUUUUUUUUUUUUUUUUUUGAUGGAGUCUCCCUCUCGACGCGCAGGCUGGAGUGCAGUGAUGCGAUCUCAGCUCACUGCAACCUCCAUCUCCCGGGUUCAAGCGAUUCUCCUGCCACAGCCUCCUGAGUAGCUGGGAUUACAGGCGUAUGCCACCAUGCCCGGCUAAUUUUUGUAUUUUUAGUAGAGAAGGUGAAAGGUAUGGGCCCUCUUCUGAGAAAAAGGCAGAGUGACGCUGAAUUUUGUAACUAC
rnacentral:lncRNA from 10 species